rnacentral:rRNA from 1 species
UGAGUAAUAUAUAGCUAACCUGCCCUUUAGUGGGGGACAACAGUUGGAAACGACUGCUAAUACCCUAUACUCCUUCUUACUAUAAGGUAAGUUGGGAAAGAUUUAUCGCUAAAGGAUGGGGCUUUAUUGUAUCAGCUAGUUGGUGGGGUAAUGGCCUACCAAGGCUAUGACGCAUACCUGGUCUGAGAGGAUGAUCAGGCACACUGGAACUGAGACACGGUCCAGACUCCUACGGGAGGCAGCAGUGAGGAAUAUUGCACAAUGGAGGAAACUCUGAUGCAGCAACGCCGCGUGGAGGAUGACGCAUUUCGGUGUGUAAACUCCUUUUAUUAGGGAAGAUAAUGACGGUACCUAAUGAAUAAGCACCGGCUAACUCCGUGCCAGCAGCCGCGGUAAUACGGAGGGUGCAAGCGUUACUCGGAAUCACUGGGCGUAAAGGGUGCGUAGGCUGGCUUUUAAGUCAGAUGUGAAAUCCAAUGGCUCAACCAUUGAACUGCAUUUGAAACUGAAAGCCUAGAGUUCAGAAGGGGCAGAUGGAAUUAGUGGUGUAGGGGUAAAAUCCGUAGAUAUCACUAGGAAUAUCAAAAGCGAAGGCGAUCU